GUCUCCGCUGUCCUCCCCCGCCGGCCCCCACGGGCUGGCGACCCUCCCUCGGGCCGCCGCGGGCCCACGCCACCUGGCCCGGGGGCAGGCACGGCGCCGAGGGGGUCCGGGUACCCCGCGGGCGGGGCCGGUGCAGCGGGCGAGAUGAACGGUCCUCCUCUGCCGCCGGCUCAGCCGCCGCCGGCGGGAGCAGCCCCCUCACGCACCCCCACUUCCCGCCGAAUCGGGCCGGCCUCGCCGCGACGCAGCUUUGCUUUCAGAGGAGCUCAGUGAUGACCUUCAGGGACAUUCGACUGUAAGUGUGCAGAAGACAGUAGGGAAUGCACGCUAUAACCAGCCAGCCUCAUAGAAACAACACUAGAGGGAAACUAAUCCAAUUGUCAGGUCAGGAAAAUCUCAUUGGCUGUGGAAUUCCAUUUUUUUUCUGGGAAUAUUAGAACUGUAUUAUGAAUGAUAGCAUGCUGUGUUGAAUCAUAUAUUAUUUGUAAUAUGCUUUUGAUUGUCUUUGU